rnacentral:rRNA from 1 species
UACGUAGGGAGCAAGCGUUGUUUGGAUUUACUGGGGCGUAAAGGGUGCGUAGGCGGUGCGGAAAGUUGGGUGUGAAAGCCCUCGGCUCAACCGAGGAAUUGCGCCCAAAACUGCCGCACUAGAGGAAGACAGAGGUACGCGGAACUUAGGGUGGAGCGGUGAAAUGCGUUGAUAUCCUAAGGAACACCGGUGGCGAAAGCGGCGUACUGGGCUUAUCGUGACGCUGAGGCACGAAAGCU